GCCUCCCCUGAGCUCCCAGUCUGCCCGUCCAACAUCCUCCACUGUCACUGACUCUGGGCAGCAGGGGACUGGAUCCAACCCUGCUCCAGCCUCAGCCCUACCUCAUGGCCAUACUCAGAAAGGAGAGAAGGAAACAGAGGAGAUGGGUUUCUCCAGUCCCUAGUGUCUGUGAGGGAUCUCUCUGAGUUUGACAGCCCACCAUCCAGCCAGUACAGCCGAAGCACAGACCUGGGUAGUGGCCUGAGCAGUCCUCUAUGUGGUCAGCUCUAGCCAGUCCCAUGUGUUUGAUGAACUGGAGGCCAUCGCCCCGCGGACCCGCUCUUGUCUGUCCCUAGACAACCCACUCAGCCCAG
ensembl:lncRNA